rnacentral:rRNA from 1 species
UACAGAGGUCCCAAGCGUUGUUCGGAUUCACUGGGCGUAAAGGGUGCGUAGGUGGUGGGGUAAGUCGGAUGUGAAAGCUCGGAGCUCAACUCCGAAAUGGCAUUGGAAACUACCCUGCUAGAGGAUUGGAGGGGGGACUGGAAUACUUGGUGUAGCAGUGAAAUGCGUAGAUAUCAAGUGGAACACCAGUGGCGAAGGCGAGUCCCUGGACAAUUCCUGACACUGAGGCACGAAAGCUAGGGGAGCAGACAGG